GGAGAGAUGAACAAGCAGGAGAGAAGCAUGUGGGCUGCUAAUGUUAUGCACCAGUUUAGGAAAUGGACUUACAGCAACGACUAUAUUUGCAGCAAUGUUCGCUCUGGCGUUACCGAGUGGUGGACUUUGCCGAGAUCUUCAG